AAACAGCUGAAAGGAGGUGCUCUAGUGUCUAAUGGGAAACCGGAGAAUGGUCUUGGGACAGUUCGGGAGACUCGGAUUUAGGGCAGCCCCUAGUUUCGACAAACCACGGAUUGGUGCGCCCUAACCAGCCCACCUCCUAAAAUCUCGGGGGCCGUUCGACAGGAUCGAGCGGCCC
rnacentral:misc_RNA from 1 species